rnacentral:rRNA from 1 species
AGAACGAACGUUGGCGGCGUGGAUUAGGCAUGCAAGUCGAACGAAUCCCCGUGGGGGUAACUCUGCGGGGGGAAGUGGCGAACGGGGCAGUAAGGCGUGGGUAACCUACCCUGGGGACGGGGAUAGCCUUCCUAACGGAAGGGUAAUACCCGGCGACGUAGCGAGGGCGCAUGCCCUUGUUACCAAAUGAGUUUCGCCCUGGGAGGGGCUCACGUGGUAUUAGCUGGACGGCGGGGUAACGGCCCACCGUGGCCAAGAUGCCUAGCAGGUGUGAGAGCACGACCUGCGCCACUGGCACUGUGACACUGGCCAGACUCCUACGGGAGGCUGCAGUCGAGGAUCUUCGGCAAUGGGCGCAAGCCUGACCGAGCGACGCCGCGUGUGCGAUGAAGGCCUUCGGGUUGUAAGCACUGUCGAGGGAAGAAGCCGCGAAGGGUUGAGUCGACCCUGGAGGAAGCGACGGGCUAAGUUCGUGCCAGCAGCCGC